CAAUAGCGUAUAUUAAAGCUGUUGCGGUUAAAAAGCUCGUAGUUGGAUUUCUGUCAAGGACAACUGGUCCGCCCUCCGGGUGAGCACAUAGUUUGGUCUUGGCAUCUUGCUGGAAGCUGUUGCUGCACUUGGCUGUGUGGCGCAGCGUCCAGCACUUUCACUUUGAGGAAAUUGGAGUGUUUCAAGCAGGCACAUGCCUUUGGACACAGUAGCAUGGAAUAAUUAGAUUGGGCUUUUGCUCCAAUUUGUCGGUUUCUGGAGCUGAGGUGAGAAUUAAUGGGGAUUGUUGGGGGCAUCCGAAUGUAGCCGUCAGAGGUGAAAUUCUUGGAUCUGCUAAAGACGGACAACUGCGAAAGCGUUUGCCCAGGAUGUUUUCAUUGA
rnacentral:rRNA from 1 species